GUCGACCGCUGGCGGCGUGCCUAAUACAUGCAAGUCGAACGCAGUGGGGACGGGUGAGUAACACGUGGGUAACCUCCCAUCAGAGGGGAUAACACUUGGAAACAGGUGCUAAACCGCUACUGAUGGCUGGACCCCAGGUGCUUUAGCUAGUUGGUGCGGUAACGGCCCACCAAGGCCACGAUGCAUAGCCGACCUGAGAGGUCUAUCGGCCACACUGGGACGUGGACACGGGGCAGCCUCCUACGGGAGGCAGCAGUAGGGAAUCUGCGGCAAUGGACGAAAGUCUGACCGGGCAACGCGGCGUGAGUGAAGAAGGUGUUCGGAUCGUAAAACUCUGUUGUUAGAGAAGCGGUAUCUAGCCAGAAAGCCACGGCUAACUACGUGCCAGCAGACGCGGUAAUUC
rnacentral:rRNA from 1 species